UACGUAGGGUGCGAGCGUUGUCCGGAAUUAUUGGGCGUAAAGGGCUCGUAGGCGGUUUGUCGCGUCGGGAGUGAAAACACACAGCUUAACUGUGUGCUGGCUUCCGAUACGGGCAGACUAGAGGUAUGCAGGGGAGAACGGAAUUCCUGGUGUAGCGGUGAAAUGCGCAGAUAUCGGGAAGAACACCCGUGGCGAAGGCGGUUCUCUGGGACGGUACUGACGCUGAGACGCGAAAGCGUGGGGAGCGAACAGG
rnacentral:rRNA from 1 species